rnacentral:SRP_RNA from 1 species
GCCGGGCGUGGUGGCGCUUGCCUGUAGUCCCAGCUACUCGGGAGGCUGAGGCAGAAGAAUCACUUGAACCUGGGAGGCGGAGGUUGCAGUGAGCCGAGGUCAUGCCACUGCUCUCCAGCCUGGGUGACAGAGAGAGACUCCGUCUCUU